AGUGGAUGGGGAGCAACAAAAGUUGUGUGUGUGUAAAGGUAGUGCCAAAAAAAGCUGAGUUGAUGUUGAACAAAAGAUUCCGGUACCCGAAACCGACACAGGUAGGCAAGUAGAGAAUACUAAGGGGCGCGAGGUAACUCUCUCCAAGGAACUCGGCAAAAUGACCCCGUAACUUCGGGAGAAGGGGUGCCACCGAGAGGUGGUCGCAGUGAAGAGUCCCAGGCGACUGUUUAGCAAAAACAUAGGUCUCUGCAAACUCGAAAGAGGAGGUAUAGGGGCUGACGCCUGCCCAGUGCCGGAAGGUUAAAGAAGUUGGUCAGUCGAAAGAUGAAGCUAGCGACUGAAGCCCCGGUGAACGGCGGCCGUAACUAUAACGGUCCUAAGGUAGCGAAAUUCCUUGUCGGGUAAGUUCCGACCCGCACGAAAGGCGUAACGAUCUGGGAGCUGUCUCGGAGAGAGGCUCGGCGAAAUAGGAUUGUCUGUGAAGAUACGGACUACCUGCAUUUGGACAGAAAGACCCUAUGAAGCUUUACUGUAGCUUGGAAUUGUGUUCGGGCUUGCUGUGCGCAGGAUAGGUGGGAGGCUAUGAAGGUAUGCUUGUGGGUGUACUGGAGCCGUCAGUGAGAUACCACUCUCAGGGGGCUAGAAUUCUAACUAAAGAAAGGACAGUUUCAGGUGGGCAGUUUGACUGGGGCGGUCGCCUCCAAAAAGGUAACGGAGGCGUACAAAGGUUCCUUCAGACUGGUUGGAAAUCAGUCGUAGAGUGCAAAGGCAGAAAGGAGCUUGACUGCGAGAAUUACAGUUCGAGCAGGGUGGAAACACGGUCUUAGUGAUCCGACGGUGCUGUGUGGAAGGGCCGUCGCUCAACGGAUAAAAGUUACUCUAGGAUAACAGGCUGAUCUCCCCCAAGAGUUCACAUCGACGGGGAGGUUUGGCACCUCGAUGUCGGCUCAUCGCAACCUGGGGCGGAAGUACGUCCCAAGGGUUGGGCUGUUCGCCCAUUAAAGCGGUACGUGAGCUGGGUUCAGAACGUCGUGAGGCAGUUCGGUCCAUAUCCGAUGUAGGCGAGAGAAUAUUGAGAGGAGCCUUCCUUAGUACGAGAGGACCGGGAAGGACGCACCGCUGGUGUACCUGUUAUGAUGCCAAUUGUAAACGCAGGGUAGCCAAGUGCGGAGAGGAUAACCGCUGAAAGCAUCUAAGUGGGAAGCCCACCUCAAGAUGAGUAUUCUGUGUUAAGGUCACGGGAAGACGACCCGUAAAUAGGCACGAGGUGGAAGUGCAGUAAUGUAUGAAGCCGAAGUGUACUAAUAGACCGUCAGCUUGAUC
rnacentral:rRNA from 1 species